rnacentral:rRNA from 1 species
UACGGAGGAUGCGAGCGUUAUCCGGAUUUAUUGGGUUUAAAGGGUGCGUAGGCGGACGCUUAAGUCAGCGGUAAAAUUGCGGGGCUCAACCUCGUCGAGCCGUUGAAACUGGGUGCCUUGAGUGGGCGAGAAGUACGCGGAAUGCGUGGUGUAGCGGUGAAAUGCAUAGAUAUCACGCAGAACUCCGAUUGCGAAGGCAGCGUACCGGCGCCCUACUUACGCUGAAGCACGAAGGCGUGGGUAUCGAACAGG